UAGGAAAGAGAAGAAGCAGGGGAUGUUGCUGGUGCAGAAUGCACAAGUGCACUCUCUUGCCAUAUUUCUUCUUCAAUUCAUCUCAUCACACCUGUGCACAUAUUGUAGGUUGAGUUACAUCAACCUAUGUUUUUUUAUGCUCUCAUACAACCCUUAUAUUGUAUGUGUUGAUAUUAUAUUCAUUGGAAUA
rnacentral:misc_RNA from 1 species